rnacentral:rRNA from 1 species
AUACGUAGGGGGCUAGCGUUGUCCGGAUUUACUGGGCGUAAAGGGUGAGUAGGCGGUUGUAUAUGUCAGAUGUAAAAGGCGUGGGCUUAACCUACGUUAGCAUUUGAAACUGUACAACUUGAGUGCAGGAGAGGUAAGUGGAAUUCCUAGUGUAGCGGUGAAAUGCGUAGAUAUUAGGAGGAACACCAGUGGCGAAGGCGACUUACUGGACUGUAACUGACGCUGAGUCACGAAAGCGUGGGUAGC